UCUGAAAAAUGUUUUCACAUUUAUCUUCUCUCUACAGGAAUGAGCUGGAACGCCAGUUUCUGGAGCUGUUGCAGUUCAAUAUUAAUGUUCCCUCCAGUGUUUAUGCCAAGUAUUAUUUUGAUUUGCGCUCCUUGGCAGAAGCAAAUAAUCUGAGUUUUCCUUUGGAGCCCCUCAGCAGGGAUAGGGCAUAUAAACUUGAGGCCAUUUCCCGCUUGUGUGAAGAUAAAUACAAGGACUUCAGGAAAUCUGCAAAGAAACGGUCAGUCAGUGCUGACAAUCUGACUGUGGUUAGAUGGUCUCCUGCUAUUAUCUCCUAACAGAGGAGACUGGAAUAUUCCUACGGACGUACUGUUUCAUCCAUCCAGUUUUUUGGGGGUGGGUGGGGGGGGAGGGAGAGGAGAGAAAAAGACUUCUGUUUUUUUGUUUUUUUUUUAAAUCUGUCAAGCUGCCUUUACAGUGCCUCCCCAUUGUGUAGCACACGAGUAAAGUACCUAGCGGGAGCUGAAGUGGAGAAGCCAGUGUUUGGGAGAGAAGAUGGGUGACAAUUUCUUCCUCACUUUCACUAACACCUUUAGUCUUUCUAUGAGGAAACAGCAAAUCGGGUGCUUGGAAGUAGAAACAAAAAAUGAAGUAGAGGCAGAAAAACUAUUUCAGAACUGUGCCAUUUUUCAAUGUGCUGUGCUUUUGAAGAGAAACGACAGCAUGAAAAUGAACCACAUAGUCAGAUGACUGUGCACUAGAGGAGUGACGUUCAGAGAGUUCCAUCUUAAAGGUUUCUCUUAAUAUCUUUCUUAAUUUUUAUUUUCCAUUCCUCAUUGCUGCUUCCCAGGAAAAAUUCUUCCCCUUGCACAGCAGCAAAUACCAAGUCUGUAUUUACAGUAGCACAAACCCCUGAAUAAAUAGUGUUGUUUUUUUUUCACUGCACUUUUCUCUGUAAGCUGUUAUUAGCAUUAUUCUUCAUAAUUAUUAUGCAUAUGUUAUAUUUCUCUUAUGCCUUCUAUUGUAUUUCAAAAGAGAGAACUUGACCAUAGUGCUGAACCAAAAGUGUGUACAGGGAUCAGAAGAUGGUUCAUAAUUCCAUGAUGUGUUUUAUUUAUAGUAUACUUGGGUGCGUGUGCCUUCCUAAGUUCUUGGAAUCAAUUAUUUUUCCUUAGUACAAAGAUACAGUUGUUAAUGUAUUCAGAUGAUGAUAGUUAUAAGACUUGGGCCAAAUAUCUGAAAUUUGCAACAGGUCUUGUGAUCCUUUUUGCAGAUUUUCAUAGCAUUAGAAGUUUAGCAGAAUUCAUUUAGAGACAGAUUUGUUUUGUAUGGCCUAGACUAGUUCAUUCAUUCACCUCCAGGUCCAUUGUUGCAAGCAAUAUUCUCAAUUUGUAUGUGUUUACUUUAAAACAAAGUAAGUCUGUUUGUAUAAAAUAAAAAAUAAUUUUAUAAGUUUCACUGAGAAGGUCUACAGAAGAGCAGAAUACACAUUUUAACAAGGUACUUCUCACAAGCAGAUUUGGUUUUGAAGCUAAAAUACAAACUCUUAUAUUUUUUUCAGUGUGAGCACUUAUAGAAAUUAAAAAUAACCAAACCGUGAACAAAAUGUUCAACUCUAAUUAUUAAGCUCUUCUGUUGUUGUUACUAGUUCCUUCCUACCGUGGCUGUUGCCCCCUUGGGCAAUAAGAACUUUAUUUUUAUUUUUAUUUUUAUUUUUAUUUUUUUGAUUUUUAUUUUUUUGCAUAGUUUAGAAAGAUACGGUUGAAAAUUCUCAGUUCCCUGAAAUUCUUUCUUUGUGACUGUCACUGAAGUGAGUGGCAGCAGACUUCCCUGAUAUAUGCACUACUGUGGUAAACUGUAAAGAUUCCUUAUUUGUUUUCAUUAAGCCCUAUGGGCUUGUAGCAAACCUAGAGGCCCUGAGAAGCACCCUUUGCUUCAGUGCAGUGCGGAUCGGAUGCCUCCAGGUGGAGAGGCACUAGCAGGAUUCAAGUAGUGAUACCAAACAGUUUCUGUUAACCUUCUAAUGUGAUUUGCGUGGUUUGUGACAUGAAGGUUUUGUCCGUAAAUUCUCCUGAUGUCCUUUGGGCCUUGAAAAUAUCUAAUUCUCAUCAUUGUUGUGCCAAUGCAUCGGAACUGUGAGUCUCCAAGUCCAUUUUUCCCUUGAACGUGGAAUGUAAGGAAAGUAUAACAAUACAAAUGCCAAUCAAAGCAUUUGCAACCUCUUUACAGAUGAUAUCAAAAGGAACAUUUUCAAAGCAUUUGAAAUUCAUCCUUUCUAAGCAUAAAUUUAGGCUUUAGAAUAUGUAAAAUAUUUUGAUUUAUCAACACUUUGCUAAACUAUUUUCCAUUUAACUUGAUAUCAGGAAUAUUGGUUUUAUCCAUUUCUGGGCGAUAGAUAUAUGAACUUUGGAUUAUGUAAAGAUCUCAAUGCAUCUUCUAUAAUUUUUGUGAAGUUUAUUAAACUACUUUAAAGAUUGUAUAGUCUAUUUAUUGUAUGUAUGUACAUACAGUCUGAUACUUUAAAAAGUGGAUUCCGUAAAACCUGGCUCAGUCUUGUUUAGACUAUUGAAUAUCGUUUUAGCCUUGUGCACUGGACUCUACCUCUGUAUAGGAGAAUUUUCCAUAUUCUUAAUUAGUCCUGAUUCUGUGAUUAACUUGGUUAUGUUUCUUGCACUAAGAAUUAAAAAAAAAUCUGCUGUAAGUGUGGAUUUUUUCUUUAAGUUUUGCCAUAUGAAUCCUCUACAUUUAAAUGGACAUUUCUUUCCCUCGUGAUUAUAAAACAAUUCUUUGCUUUUCCUCCUGGUUUGUUCCAACUUUGCCAAAAAAAAACCAACCAGUACCUGUCAGGAAAUCUGAAUAAGUGUCUUUUGUUUGCAAGGUAUUCUAUACCAUGUAAUUAAAAAAUGAAUUCUUAUUUAGGAUUAUGUUGUGUUUAGUGGAGUUUUUUAAGCGUUACUAUAUGGAAAAUGCCAUUGCAAGAUUAGAGAGUCACCCAGGGCUUGAGAAGGGAGGUGAACCAGACAGCGUUUUCAUUGACAGCACAAGUAAAUUUGGUUUUCGUUUCAGAACCCAAAACAAAAUUUGCUGUAAAUGUUUUCUGGAUGAAGGUUUUCACUAUUGCUUUGGUCACCAGCUCAGAAACAAAAAGGUGUAGGUGACGUAAUAAACCUGUCCCUUCAAGUGUCAUUGUCUUAAUGAGUUAUUUUCCUGUGUUGAGCCAGUGGGGCACUGGGUUUGUUGCUUAUGCAUUGAUAAUUGGAUAAAUGUUUGAAAAAAGUUUCUUCUAAGAGUUGUGUUUUUUUCAUGCAUCCCUCUGCAGACUUGAGAUGUUUCCCUAAUUCCUUUCUCCGUUUGAAGACUUAUUUAUAUUUCAUUUUAUGUUUAUUUUUUUCUUGUCAGCUGUAUAUUUCAUUCUGAUGGACACUUUUGAGACUAAUAAUGUUGGAGUCGUGAUAAAGUGCAGAUAAAAGAAAAACGACAAGAAACAUUUUCCCCUUUAAUAAGCCCUAUCAGUCUUUUGAAUGAUGCACAUUUUCUCUUACUAAAAAGAUGCAAAAUCCAAUAGCAGGGUAAUGGAAUCCUUUUCAAUAAUUAUAUUUUUUUAAUUUGCUUUUCAGUCUUUUUGUGAGAGGAAAAUAUCAGCAUGUGUAGCUUUAUAGUUACAUUUACCUUAUAGUAGUUAGCUGAGUUUAUCACAUAAAGUAAAUGUGUGAUGGGAGACCUGUUUAAGUGUUUUUGAAGUCUUAGUUCAGGCUUUGUUUUUUAUUUAACACCUCUUUCUCUGUUUCCCAACUUUGUUAAUGCUGCAAACUUUAGAUACAAACUAAAGGUUAGAAGGAGCAAAAGUCUCAUCAGAAAAGAGUGACAGUGUAUUGGUGGCAGAUGACAAAGUGACAUCUGGGAGUGUUGGCUGUAUGUAAAAAUAGCAGUCUGUGGGAGGGGACAGAGGAAUUGAAAUGACAGAACAGAAAAAAACAAAGCUUUAGCAGCUGAAGCAACAAAUUAUUUACAGCAAUCCUUUGCUGAUAAUGAGCACUGCAUUUUCCUUUGACAUGUUUAAAUUACUAAUUAGAAUGCUGCCCAUCCGUUGCAGACUCAUGUGGCGCUCUGUUUCUCUGAGGCAUGUAUAAAGAAUUUACUCAACCUGGCUUUUAGCACUUUCUCACUACUGUUUCAAACAUGCUUCUGUAAUCUGACUUUUAUUUUUUUUUUAAUUUGAAUCCAUAGUUCUUGAAAAUAUCUACCUACCUCUGCAGUGGAGUGCCCGUUUGGUAUCUCUAACAUGUUCUGAGAAAACAAUGCAAAUCUGAACACUUAUCUCUGUGACUGUGACCCAGACCUAUAAAGAAAUGUUAGUAGCUACAUCUAAAGUGUGCAGCAAGUAUCUUUCUGCUGUUUGCUUUUUCUCUUUGCCAGCUGAACUGCAUCUUGAGGAAACCACAGAACUGGUGAGAGUUGGAGUUGCCUUAGUUUACAGGUACUGAUGGAAGAUACGUAACUGCUGAUAAGAGAAAAUGCUUUAAAAAAGGAAACAAGAAUAAUAAGAAGAGCCGCUGAUGAUAAUGAUAAUUUUGUUGUAUAUGAACCUGCUUUUCUUAGUCCUCUUUUAAGAAUCUCCAAGAAGUGACUGGUAAAUCCCAGAAACACAGUUUGAAAAGUAAAGCCAAGAAAGCAACGCUUGGCUUUACUUCUCUUGUCUGGGCUUUAGGUCAUCAGGUACUUCCCAAUAAAAAAAAAAGAAUGGGCAGGAAGGCACUUUUAGGAAAGGCAAUUGGCAAAGUGGUAUUAUUACGCUGUUCCUCUUGCAUUUCUUUUCGAAUGAUUAGUCUGAUGCAGUUUGAUGUAAAGGAGGGUGGCUUUUUCUGUGGGUGCCUGUUACACCAUAUGUAAUAUGCUUCAGCAUUUUGGGGGCAACUUUAAGCUGCUUUUUAGUUGGGAAUACUCUGGUGACGACAUGCUAAGCACACUGCUUGCUCUGGUGAUAGGUGACCACGCACUUACAUUUCCCAUAUGAGUUGUCCAAUAUCUCUGUGAAGACUUUGUAAAGUUCACUCAAUGCACUGGGCAAAAUGAACUGUGAAGAUGUUGAUGGUUUCCGCAGAUUGAGAGCAACAAUUAACAACAAAGUGUCAAAAUUGUUGAACUUUCUGGCUUAAUCAGUGAACGACACAGUUCCAGAACAUCUUUUUUGGAGUGCUAUGAGAAAUGCAUUAAAUUUGGAGAAGACAUUUCUUCACGUGCAGACACCCCCGCUCAGUGCUGACUGCAGUGAUUCCUGAGCUUUGAGUCAUGUGUGAAAUGGAGGGGAAAACAUCACGUUUCUCUUUUCAACUCCCCUCUUUCACUUCUGUGCCCAUGUAGUCUUUUUCCCAUGGUGCCAAUGCUGGGAUUCUGUGCCUGCUUUCAGUGACCAUGUACUUACAUUCAUCUGUCCAUAGUGAAAAAAAGAGCAGUAUCAGUGUUCAGUAACACAGACAACAAUAUGAGUUUUGUUUCCUAAAAUGAUCAGCCAUGAAAUACAAGAAAGUGUGAUCUCUUAUUUUAAUUCCACUGUGGCUGCCUGUAUGUUACAUCUGAUAUGACGGAUUUAUUUACUGAUAUCCAGAACCAACACAAUAGCCCCUUCUGCUCGGCCUGCUGAAAGCUAUGAUCUAUUUGCUCCCUGCAGUGUUCGUGCUGAGAACGGAUACUGUGUAAGUACUAAAUUAAAAACAUAGCCAGACAAAGAGAUGCUUGAUAAUCUUAUUAAGAAAUCUCUUCCCCAGCUACUUUAACAAUUUCCACAAUAUCAGCACACCAUGCUUUAAAGUUAUAUGAAAAAUCCCAUUUGCAAACAAUGUCCAAGCCAUAGGAACAGGUGGCAGUCUGGCAUCUUCAGCCAUGCUGCCACAGUUCCCAUCCUCACACCCUUGUGUGUUGCUGGGAGAGAUCCCCUGUGGGUGUGUGCCAGGCAGGGCAGCCCACUCACUUAUGCAGUCACCUGAAUCCCUCUCCCACACCUUCUUGUCAUCUAGGUGUGACAAGAGGUUGUGGAUGCUCUGAAACCCUGGAGAUGUUGAAGACCAGGUUGGAUGGGGCCCUGGGCAACCUAAUUGAGUACCAAAUCUGGAGGUUUGUGGCCCUGCCUGAGGCUGGGGGGUUUGGAACUUGAGUUGGAAUUCCUUGGGGUCCCUUCCAACCCAAGCCAUUCUAUGAUUCUACGAGUGUUUUAUAGUUACCGCUCCCCUUUUGUUGUGUUCUGGAAGAUGGUGUGUGACCUCCACUGGUACAGGGGAAGAGUAGGUAGUAAGAAAAAAAGAACAAAAUGUUCAUCAUGCUAUUAUCAAGGUGCAGCAAAGCAAUCCCUGAAGGCCCAUCUGAUUGGAAAUGUCCUUUCUCUUCCUUUUUGCCCACCCAAACAGGAAAAUGUUUGGAGCUGUCUGAGCUGGGCACCAAUGAGGCAUGUCAUCACUAGCC